CGCAAAUUGCGCCCUUUGGUAUUCCGAAGGGCAUGCCUGUUUGAGUGUCAUAUAGACUUCACCCAACUGUUUUGUAAUGAAUCGGUUGUUAAUGGUGCUUUGGACGUUUUUGCCAUUAGCCUGGCUCGUCUUAAAUGUUUUAGUGAAAUGGCGUGAUAAGUUAAUCGCCUUGACCUUCACUCUAAUCAAUCUAUUUAAUCUUUGACCUCAAAUCAGGUAGGACUACCCGCUGAACUUAA
rnacentral:misc_RNA from 1 species